CAACACUUGUUCUCUGCUCUACUUUCUUAUCAACUGCCCAACACUAUGAACCAUACAUCAUAGUAUGGCCUCACAAUUUCAUACUAAAUUUAAAAUCUAUAAUUAGUGUUUAUUCUUAUAUUAUAUUUUAAAAUCAAAGAACUACUAAUCAAGAUAUAAUUAAAGAAAUAAGAGUUGAUGUUUCUUUUGGAAUAAUCCACCAAUUUCUCUAAAUGAAACACGAUCUACAGAUUUGCAUCGAAGCGUUUCUUAUGAUAGUGAUUUUAAUCACUGUCAGAUAUCAUCUAUAAUUGUUCCAUCAAUGCCUCGUCACCACUGUGACGCGACCACUCUGUGCUGGGUUUUUUUUUUAUUCAGUUGCUAUACUGGAUUAUUAACAUUGAUUGGUAGGGGAGAGCCGUGAAUACUUGGUAAAAUGAGGUUGAUAUCAAUUUUCCUCAGCGAUGAAAACCAUCUUGUGCCAGGUGGUUCCAAAUGUAAAACGACAUUUUACAAAUAAAUUAAUUGGAAUCGACAAUAUGUCGUUAUUGUUUUUAAUCUAUGCUUACCCAAAAAAACAACAAACGAAUUACGUUUAUCACAUCAGUUAUCAGUCACUGUAUAAAAGUAUUAUACGAUUAUAAUUUUUCAUCUUAUAAUUAAUAAACAUUUAAAAGAAUUAACAUGUUACCGAUUAAAACAGCUAUUAUCUACGUGUACCUAUAAUCUUAAAAAUAGAUAUAUUCUUUAUUCAAAUUUACUAAAUUAAAAGUUUGCCUCACCACUUCUGAGACCACAAGCCGCCACUGCUGUCCACUCUGAGACCAAAACAAAAUAUACGUAACUGUAUAUUUAACUUUUAUUAUAUCAUAAUGAUAAUUCACUUAAAUUUUUUAUUUGAUUACACUAAUAAUAGUUAAUAUUAUUAUUCAUUACAGAUCGACUACUUUGGGAUAUUUUAAUUGACGGAAAAGCUGUAGAAGCAUUUGAUGAUUAUCUCAAUAAUAAUACGUACGAUACGAUAGUACAUUAUUUUUUAAGAGAAGAAUACAAUCAAUUAACGAGGAAUGAUAGUGAUGAUCAAGUAAUAA